GGUCAAGUUAUUAAGGGUGCAGGGCGGAUGCCUUGGCACUAGGAGCCGAUGAAGGACGUGAUAAGCUGCGAUAAGCUUCGGGGAGUUGCACGUAAACUUUGAUCCGAAGAUUUCCGAAUGAGGAAACUCACUUAGAGUAAUGUCUAAGUAUCAUUAAGUGAAUACAUAGCUUAAUGAGGGGAACUCAGGGAACUGAAACAUCUAAGUACCUGAAGGAAGAGAAAGAAAUUCGAUUCCGUAAGUAGCGGCGAGCGAACGCGGAUUAGCCCAAACCAAUAAAGUUUUCUUUAUUGGGGUUGCGGACAUAU
rnacentral:rRNA from 1 species